rnacentral:rRNA from 1 species
UACGGAGGGUGCAAGCGUUAUCCGGAUUUACUGGGUUUAAAGGGUGCGUAGGUGGGUAAGUAAGUCAGUGGUGAAAUCUUCGAGCUUAACUCGGAAACUGCCAUUGAUACUAUUUAUCUUGAAUACUUUGGAGGUAAGCGGAAUAUGUCAUGUAGCGGUGAAAUGCUUAGAUAUGACAUAGAACACCAAUUGCGAAGGCAGCUCACUAAACAGAUAUUGACGCUGAGGCACGAAAGCGUGGGGAUCAAACAGG